rnacentral:rRNA from 1 species
GACGAACGCUGGCGGCGUGCUUAACACAUGCAAGUCGAACGGAAAGGCCCUGCUUUUGUGGGGUGCUCGAGUGGCGAACGGGUGAGUAACACGUGAGUAACCUGCCCUUGACUUUGGGAUAACUUCAGGAAACUGGGGCUAAUACCGGAUAGGAGCUCCUGCCGCAUGGUGGGGGUUGGAAAGUUUCGGCGGUUGGGGAUGGACUCGCGGCUUAUCAGCUUGUUGGUGGGGUAGUGGCUUACCAAGGCUUUGACGGGUAGCCGGCCUGAGAGGGUGACCGGCCACAUUGGGACUGAGAUACGGCCCAGACUCCUACGGGAGGCAGCAGUGGGGAAUAUUGCACAAUGGGCGGAAGCCUGAUGCAGCAACGCCGCGUGCGGGAUGACGGCCUUCGGGUUGUAAACCGCUUUCGCCUGUGACGAAGCGUGAGUGAUGGUAAUGGGUAAAGAAGCACCGGCUAACUACGUG